rnacentral:rRNA from 1 species
CUUGCUUUCUUUGCUGGCGACCGGCGCACGGGUGAGUAACACGUAUCCAACCUGCCCUUUACUCGGGGAUAGCCUUUCGAAAGAAAGAUUAAUACCCGAUAGCAUAAUGAUUCCGCAUGGUUUCAUUAUUAAAGGAUUCCGGUAAAGGAUGGGGAUGCGUUCCAUUAGGUUGUUGGUGGGGUAACGGCCCACCAAGCCUUCGAUGGAUAGGGGUUCUGAGAGGAAGGUCCCCCACAUUGGAACUGAGACGCGGUCCAA